ACCACAGUCAGUCAUGAGUCGCCCUUGGGUUGAGAUGUGGACAUGGACACUGUUUGUCUGCCUGAGUUGGAUAUGUGUGAAUCAAGCAGCGGCAAGGCCGUAAGUUUACUCAAAAUACUUUCAAAUUAAUCAGAUUCAAAUAUUUGUUGCAGCAAGCAGAGUUAAAAGACUUUUUUUUAUUUGCUCCAGUAUAAGAAACUCUGUCAAGAACUUGACCGUACUUAAAUGUUUUUCUCUCUGUGUGUAGGCAGUACAUGGUGGCCAUUCCUGCGAUCAUCGAAGCAGGAACUGAAACACCUCUCUGUGCAAGUCUCUUGAAGCCAGAUGAGACUCUGGUCAUGACCGUUACUUUAAGGUUCGGAGAUCAAAAUAUGACCCUGAUGGAGGAGACGUCCAGCCAGGCAUUUCACACCUGCAUUAAAUUUCAGGUCUGCUGAGUGAUUUUGCAGAUUUCCUCAAAAUUCUUGGAAAACUUGUAAAAGUGGUCAUUAAUUUAGCCUCCAAAUAAUAAAUCAUAGUUCUCUACAUCAAUAAUCAUAAAGCAACAGUCUGUUGUUGUUAUUAUCAAUAUUGUAAAAACAUCAGUAUCCAAAGAUCAUAGGCUUUGUAAAAUAUUCUGAAAAAAAAAAGUUCAAGAUUUUUUCAUAAUCAUUGAAAACCUAUAAUGAACUGAAAAUGGUACAAGGACAACAUAUUCAAUGUUGAAACAGAUUUUUGUAGAUUAAAAUAUAUAUAUAUAUAUAUUUUUUUUAUUCGACAUUUGAGCUAGGGUCAUGUUUUCCGUUGUGUUGCAUAACAACCUUUAACAAAACUGUGUAAAUGUUUGGGUACCAACUGACCAGUUUCUGGAGUUUUGAAGGUGAAGUUUUUUCCCAUUCUUAGGAUCCCAGCUGCUCAACAGUUUGGCCUCUUUUUUCUGUGUAUUUCUGUGUUAUGAUGUGCCAAAUGUUUCAAACAAGUGCGAAGGCAGACUGUUGGCAGGCCAUUUUAUCACCUGGACUCUUUUGCUUUGCCUACGUGACUUGGCAUGUUUUUGCUGCAUUAUGAAAGGUCUACCCUGAAAAAAAACAUUGUCUGACAGCGUAUGCUGCUCCACCUUUGCAUCCCCUUACCAUCAGGGCUUCUAGCUUUAGAAGUUAGCUUGUGGUGGUCCUUCUCCUCUUUAGAAUGGAUUAUGCAGUGUCCAUGAUUGAUGGUAUGUUGCUGUUGUCCCGACCUUUUAGGAAUGAAAUGCUGGCAUCAAAUUUGAAAUGAGAGUACGACUAGAUGAUUUGCAAACCAUCCAAACCUGUGAAAGGACGGUCUUUCUCAAAGACCCUUGAGAUAAAGGGGAAUUUCUCUUUCUUUUUUAUAAGCUAGCAUUGAAGUGCCAGAUCAAUGUGGGAUCAGUUUGGAGCAUACAUCUUUGUUUUUGACUGGUUAACAUUUAAAAUACAGGAAGUCAUCAGGAGGUGUUUUGAAUGAGAGUAAGACAGAGCUAUUGUGCUUCACUCAAAAGGAUCUCAAAGUCACUUUGUGCCAAGUCAAAGUAAACACUCUGAAGUAAAAUCAGCAGCUCUAGACACAGCAAUAUUUACUUAAUACUAAUGAGUGACAGUUGCCAGCAGACACGAGUUUUAGCGUGAGAUGCUUACAAAAGCCUGAAAUCAUUGAUAAUAAUUACAGAUAAUUAUUCUUCUAAUUGCAUUAAAAUGAUGUUUUGUCCACAGCCCCCUCUUGUGCAGAGUCAAUUUCAGGUGUUGGUGGUGGAGGUUCGAGGACAAACAUUUUACUCAAAAGAUGCCAAAAAAGUCAUGAUCAAAACCUAUAAACCCAGAACAUUCAUCCAAACAGAUAAACCGGUCUACCUCCCGGGACAAACAGGUAAUUUUGAUUAGUUUUCCUGUGGUAAUAGUUACUGUAUGGUACCACGACAUGGGUAGUAUUUCAGUCUGUUAUAUGUGUUUUUUUAAGAAUCUGUUAAUUUUGAGUAUCUCUUUGGUUGGAAUUAAAAUCAACAUUUUUUAAGAUUAGAUUUAUUUUUUUUUAUAGUCAACUAGUGUAAUUUUUUUCUAUAAUCCCAAAAAACAUUAACCCUGUAUUCUAUCUUUGUGUCUUGAUGUGUAUGAAAUGCUCAAGCGGUGAACUCCCCAUGAUUAAAAAAUGAAGCCAUUGUGGAAGUGCAAAAACCUGCAGUUUCUCAGAAGUCCACAAACCAUUAAAUCCCCACUAGAGCCACGAUAAAAUGUUUGGUGUCAAUAAUACAUAUCCCAAUAAAGAGGUUAGAUCAUUGUUCUGAAAUUAUUGUCCUUGUGAUUGGCAUGCUGUGUGUGUGUGGUGUGCUCUCAUUUCCAGAUUUAUACUCCUAAUGGAGAGUAUUUCAACUCAUUGACUCUACAGGCUCAUUUAUCACCAUGAGCUGCUAGAUUCGUAAUAUUAACCAAUUUUCACAUGUUUUAAAUUAUUAUUCCAAAAGAGAAAUCUUCUUAUGCUUAUUUCCCUUCAUGAUAUACCUCCUUGAUGCCUGUGGAGGUUUGUCAGAGUGGAUAAACUUUAAGAGGUGCAAGUAAUCAUUUUGUAUUCUUCAGUGCAUUUCAGAGUCGUCUCACUGGACAGCAAGUUGAGACCUGCCAAUCUCUUAGUGAGUAUUUUGAAAUCCUUUCCUUCCUUUGAUAUUUUUUAAAUUGGAUGCAGACAGAAUAAAUCUUAGUAUAUUUCAGUGGAUUUAAAUUAGGAGUUAAGUUGCUGCAUUUUCACGUAAUGAGUAUCUUGAUGGCUAUCCAGAAUACAACUGGGCUGUUCUCGAUUUGCCCACUGUGCAAUCUAUUCUUCACAUAAUGAACCUCAACACAACAGUUUUCUGUUUCUAUGAAAAUAGAGACAAAAAUGUCCUUUAACAUAUUUCUCUACAUUUCCUCUUUUUUCAGUACAAAGUCAUUGAAAUUGCGGUAAGACACACCAUUUAUUUUUCAGUGCAGAUUCAAACUGGUAAAGCUUUCUUUGAGUGCCUUGAAAGAAGAUGAAUUUUUAAACUGAUGAUUUUCAAAAAGUCAAUUUUUCUCAAAUGUGUGGCCCAGUUUCACUUAACAUGUAGGAGGAAAGAGAGUAGCAAAAAUUUAACAUCAGUUUCACCUUUAUGUCAUGCAAACAGGAUUCUCAAGGUAACAGAAUUGGACAGUGGCUGCAAAAAAGCUCAAAUGGCAAAAUAUUGCAGCUGUCUUACUCGCUGAACUCAGAGGCUCGUGAAGGAACCUAUAAGGUGGUUGUGCAAAUUGAAGGAGAGAAAAUUGAACACAGUUUUAAGGUGGAGAAAUAUGGUAAGUUACUGUAAAUCAUAGAACCUUUCACAGGAAUAUGUUGCAGUAAAGCAGCACUGUUGAAAAAUGUAACUUCUUUCACAGUUUUGCCAAGAUUUGAAGUAAAAAUUGAAGCUGCUGAGACAAUUAGUAUCGUGCAAGACAUUGAAGCUCAAAUAUGUGCAAAGUAAGUCCAAACUCUGUCACUCCUUCACUCUUGAAUAAUCAAAACUGAAUUAAAACAUUUAAUAACUUUUUUUAGAUAACAGGUGUGAAACAGAGUUCUUAAUUUCUUUUUUUCUGUUAAUCAGUUUCUGAACACUUUCACAUCCUGUACCAUGUUGAAUGUUUACUUCAUGCACCACUGUUAAUUGUACAGUUUAUGUGUCUUUACCCUCCCCAGCAUUUUCUUAGCUGUUGUCUCUUUUGUCCUUUUCCCACCAUUAAGACCUGACAGACCUCAAAACAACAGGACUUCUUUCUGUGCAUUGAUAUGAUUGCAGCUGGUUUAUCAGCCUUUGAUUUGAGCUGUCUUUGUGGCUUGAAGAUACAAGCUGCUACCAAUCCCCAAAAACUUCAUGUUUGACCAACAUUUUGUUCUCUUUAUCCAUGUAGGUAUACAUAUGGACAGCCUGUGCUGGGAAAUGUUACAAUUGAGUUACAAAGACCUCUUAGUGGCUAUCACAGAUUCAACUUCCAUUUCCAUUCCAUCGUUGGUCCAACUGCUCCAGUCCACAAGGAGAUGAAACAGGUACAGCUGCUCUUCUUUCUGCUGGAGAAAGAGGUUAAACCUCAGACUGGUCCGGCACACCAGAGGGUGACAACCCCUCCCCCACAGUUCUGGAAGUCAGCCGACUGACUGUUCGCCUCCCUCAGUGGCGCUCAUGUGCAGUCUCACUGUGGGUAGCAAGAACCGUUGCUACAAGCGACCGUUCACAGUUCAGGGCCCGGCUGCCUCACUUUUAUUCUGUAAUACACACAGUUGUGGUAGAAGAAGCAGCAGCAGUUCUGAGGGAAGAAAUAAAUGAGCGAUACAAGUUAUUCUCAUUUCUGAAACGAACAAAGGUUGGUACAGCCAUCAUUUCGUUGUUCUUAAAAAAGAAGGAGGGCUCUGUCCUAUUCUACACUUGUGAGUGUUAGAUAAGUACCUACAAACGUACAAGUUCAAGAUGCUAACACUCAGACAGCUACUGAGUGCGCUCAAACCGGGAGGUUGGUUUACAACUAUUGAUCUGCUUACUGUGGCGACUACAUGCCUAUCCGUUGAGAGGUCCAACCUAAUCGCUCAGGGUCUGACCCCAACUGUGGUGGCAACAAUUCAGACUGCAAGGGUAUCAUUUACUAAGGGCCUAUUUGCCUUCAAAUGGUGGAUGUUUGAGCAGUGGUGUCAGGACCGAACUGUACCCCCAUUCUAGUGUUCUGUUGUGGAUGUUUUAACAUUUCUUCAGGAGCUGCUGGAUAAGAGUCUCUCUUUCUAAACAAUUAAGGUCUAUUUGGCGGCUAUAUCUGCAUGCCAUGUUGGCUUUGAUGGUUUGACGCCAGGCCUCUUGCUAUGGGCUUCCUAAAGGGAGUCAGCAGGCUUAGACCUUUGCUUAAACCCAGCAUUCCCUCAUGGGAUUAACUGCUGGUGCUUGAGGCUCUUGGUGGACCCCCAUUUGAGCCUAAUGAGUCCGCAGACAUGAAACUUCUUUCAUGAAAGACAGCACUGCCACUGCUACUUUGACGUCUGCAAAGCAAGUGGGCGACCUUCAUGCGUUGUCUGUACAUCCCCCUUGUAUCCAGUUUACUCUGGAUGGAUCUAAGGUAACAUUGUGCCCAAAUGCAGCAUAUUUGCCUAAAAUUAUCCCCACAGUCUAUAGUGCUAUGAGUUUUUAUCUCUUUAGCCUUUGCCCCCUCUAUUUACAUCUGACGAGCAGAGGAGGUUGCAUCCUUUGUGCCCUGUGCGUGCACUACGCACUUACAUAGACCGCACUCAGAGUGUGCGCUUAUGUGACCAGUUGUUUGUCUGUUUUGCUAAUCCAGCCAAGGGCAAGGCGCUGUCUAAACAGCAGCUUUCCCACUGGAUUGUGGAGGCUAUCUACCUAGCAUACAGCGGUAGGGGUCUUCCGUUGCCCCAAGGUGUGAGGGCACAUUCAGCCAGGGGUAUGGCGGCCUUAUGGGCCUUGUUUAAAGGGGUUUCUCUGAGAGAUAUCUGCACUGCAGCCAGUUGGUCAUCACUGCAAACUUUUGUUUGGUUUUAUUGUUUGGAUGUGACAGCCCCUUCAGUGGCUCACUCUGUCUUUUCUGCUGGGUGUGCGAUGCACCAAAGUUUUGGAGGUUUGACUCCGGUUCGGUGGCUGCUCUGCGGGGUGUGUAUGUAUGUCCCAUACUAUAUGUGUUGUGUCGAGUGAAUGGACUGAAAGGGAACAAAAUGUUAUGAAUAUAACUUCUGUUCCCUGAAGGAGAGGAACAAGGUACAACACUGGGUUGUGUCACCACUGAUCAUCUGCCGUAAAGGCGAGAAUAAAGGUGUCUUCAGUCAGGAAAUGCGGGGGCGUGAUAUCCCAUACUAUAUGUGUUGUACCUCGUUCCUCUCCUUCGGACAAAAUGUUAUAUUCAUAACAUUUUGUUAAAGCUUACUGUAUAGCCUGUAUUUGAUGUGAUUUCAUUUCAUCUAAUUGAACUUUCCAGACAGAUAAAAGUGGCUGUACUACCUUUGUCGUCAAGAUGUCCACCUUCACAAAACUUGACAAUACACUUGUGGGAGAUGCUCUGCAGCUCAAGGCCAGUGUGGAAGAAGAGGGGACAGGCAAGUCUUACUUUUACAUUUUUAAAAGGACAGUAAUGUCAUUGGAGAGGUACAAGUAUGAUAUAAUCCAAACUGAGCAGGUGGUUAUGCACAAAAGAAUCCAGACAAAGUGAGCAAGGAUCAAAUUCUGAUUUGCACAUCCUGAUUUACAUAACCAUUCACUUAAUCCUGUGUGUUUCGUGCAGGUAUUUCACACCUAAAUCACAAGAGGAUGGAGAUAUCCUAUGUCAUUGGAAAGUUUAUCUUUAUUGAGGCCCCCAAGAUUUAUGAGCGAGGAUCAAACGUAGAGGGAAAAGUAAGUACCAGCGCUCACCACUUUCUAAUUAGAUCCUUCACACAUUUCUACCUUGAGCUCUUUGUCAUUAAACUUUGUGCUGUUUACAGGUCAAAGCAGUUAAAUAUGAUAACACACCUAUCCCUUACAUGCUGGUGUACCUGCUUGAUAGUCAGCGGUCCACACAUGUGCUGCAGAAUGUAACUACUGACAACGAGGGAAUCGCCACUUUCUCGAUUAGCACAGCUGAGUUUGAUGGGGAUAUCAACCUUGUGGUAAGUGGAAAUGGAGACUUCUCCAUGUAUUUGUUUCUCUGGGUUUAUAGCUCUGAAAAACUGCUGCUGUAAAUCCACAAUCCACAGUUACCCUGUCAACAGAUUCUAUGAUGUACAAAUUACUGAUAUAUUGUGAAAUUGAUUUUUAUUUUUUCAUCUUGGUUUAACUUAAUUUUCAGCGCUAAAUACCUGAGACUAUCUGGCAGACACAGUUAUUUCUGUGAUAUUACAGUUAUUACAGCUCAGUCUUCCCCUUUUAUAGCCAACACAGACUAUUUUUACCAUGUAAACAUAUUGGGUCUCAUUUGUGUUUCUAAGCACAACUAAAUCUUUGCAAACCAUGUCCAAAUUCUUGUUUUCAGUCCAUUUUGACUAACACUGAGAUCAGUGUUUGGGUUGAAGUUUCUUCAAAUUAUCUAAAUUAACUGGUAGAGUUAAACCUGUCUGGAGAUUGAUAUCCUUGUUUCCAUGCUUAUUUUUUGGCUAGUUUUUCAUUCAUUCAAUAUUUAGAGGGACCUCAUACAGUGCCACUUUAAAAAGACUAAACUGUCCCUUUGAAAAUUAAUGCAAGCUGAGCAGAGACAUGCAACUAUUUGAAGUUUUUACUCCUUUAUCCAGGCAAGCUACAAACCUGAAUUUGAGCCUGAAAAGUAUCGAUCUCCGGUUUUUCAAUCUGGAAGGCACAAAGUGUCGUUGGCAAAACCUUUAACUCCAGAUGUUAAAACAAUCAGCUCCCUGGAGGUGCAGAAGAAGGAUAAACCAUUUGCCUGUAACACAGUGGAGGACAUUUACAUCAAGUUUUUUAUCAUUGGUGAAGUCCAGGGCACUGCAGACGUGAUGUAUCUGGUAUGUAAGCCAUUUAUCAGUGCAGUAACUUUUAAAAACAGACAAACAAAAAAUACUCUGCUUUCAAAGCUAGGAGGUGCUACUGUUCCUCUGUGUCAUUUAAAUUGGGCAGGUCUUAUCCAGAGGAGCUAUUGUGAUGCAAGGAAUUGAGCAGAUUGAAGUCCAGGAUAAACUAAGUAGGAGGAAAUUCUCUUUUAUUGUGCAGUCAUAAAUUAAUGUGAAACUAUGAACCAACUUUAGCAUGCAUGCUUUGAACUACAUGAAUCAGCUAUAAGCUGUUUUGUAAUAUGUUUAAAUUGUUUUCCUGUUUCAGUGACUGAGGGUCAGAUGUCCUUUAAGUUAGCAGUGUCUCCAGAUAUGACCCCAGAGGUUCAAGUUGUGGCGUACACCGUUCUCCCCAGUGAGACGGUGAUUGCCCACAGCGCUGCGUUCACCACCGAGAAAUGCUUCAGUCACAAGGUCAGUGUGCAGGCUGAUGUAGGUGUUAGGGGAUGUAAUGGUAGAGGUCAAUACAAAGUUGUGUCACAUUAAGGGUACUUGUUUUCUGUGUGUUAGGUGUCACUGGAGUUUUCCCCAUCUUCAGCAGUCCCAGGAGAGGCCAACACUCUGCAGGUGACCACCCAUCCAGGCUCUCUGUGCGCCCUGAGUGCUGUCGACCAGAGCGUUCUCAUCAAGGAGCCCGGGAAAACUUUGGACACAGACAAGGUAAAGACUGAAAUCAACCAGAUGCCUUUUGGUCUUCUUUUAGGACCAGGCAACAUCAGAACAGAUGGCAACCUCUUUGAUUCUUACAAAGCCAUGGUUGGCUUAAGGCAGCCAUCCACUGCACCCUGCUAUUUGCUUUUUGACAGCAGGAACUUUUCCCAUAGGAACUCGAAACCUCUUUGAAGAAUUCAACCUAUUUUGACUGCAGAAACAGAGUCUAAAUACUGACUGGGAAUUUGAUCCAUCCCUCAAAAAGUCCCUGCCUCAGGGAGGGUAUAAUGAGUGUUGUUUCACAUAAGACAUGUAAAAUCACUUUAUUCCACCUUGUGUAGAAGUUUAAAGUUAUCCCUUCCUCCCCUACCCAUCCUGAAAACUCUCAUAAAUUAGAUUUUUUAUCAAGAGCGAAAGGGAGGAAGGCAUGGAGAGCCACACAAGGAUCCCACACAAGAAUACAGUGUUCAAAGAGACACAAACAAUCAACAAUAGUACAUGGAGACGUACUGAUGCAUACUCGGUCUACACACAAAUGACAUUGGGUCUCAUCAAUGAAAUGUGAGCAGAACAAAUUUGUAUUUAAACUGUGAGCAGAAUAAAAUUUAGAAGAUACCCUGUUUACAUUCUUGCAUAUUUACUGAGUCCUCAGGUACCAGAUCAAGAAAAAAAAAAGUGUAGAUUCAGGCCUGGUAUAUACAUACCCGGUUAUUUUUAAAACGGAGACAUUAACCAUCAUUUGCACUCUUCGUUUAGAGCCAAACUGAGAAUUUACCCCCAAAAAUGAUGCUUUAUAAAAACUCCAGCCAAAGUGGAGAUUUCAGAAAACUCUAUUUGCACGUUUGCAUGUGAACCGAGAAAAACAGAGCUUUAGGUAGCCGACGGCAGAUUAUGCGCAGUUGUUGCUGCUAUGCAAGAUUCUGAUUGGCUAACGUGGGCUUGAGCUUCUCGCUACACUUCUACCCACAUGUUUGAUAUGCUCUUGACAGCAAAUAUACAUGGGUUACUGUAAAUGAAAACUUUUCUGAAAAUGUAGUGGUGUGCUGUCUGUUUUUUUUUUUUUUUGUAAACAGAGAGGGUGAAAUGUUUAUGAAAAUAGCCAUGCACGUCUAAACGUAGUCUCAUGCACAUGCAUUUGCAGUCCACACACACAGAUUGUUAUCCACACUCAGGGAUUUCUCACGUAAUUAUUUUUUCAUUUACCAUGUUGCUUCGGGGAUGUAAACAUAUAUAUUUUAACUAGAACUCUAACCUAUCAAUCGAGGACAGGGUAACCCACUGAAGCUGUGGCUGUUCACUCCACAGACCUGCCACACACUCAGCUUAAGCUCCUUAUAUACCCAACAUAGGCUAAGACUGUUCGAUGGUGGAAAUUUGACUGAGUAGUAGCUAUCAGGAGAGUACAGUCACUCCUUAAUCAAUUGACAUUCAUAAAGUUAUUCAUGCCACUUCAAUCAAAUCCAGGGUUUUCCACAGUGUUCAUGAAUCAGGAGUAAAGUUAUUUUUAUUACCAAUGAUGUUUAUGUGUAAGUCUACGCAUACAUUUACCAACAUGUUACGAAUGAAACCCAUUAAUAGUAAAGAGUGUGGGUCCUAUGACUAAACCUUGUGGCACGCCUAUUGUAAUGUUGACAAAACUGGAGCACAGGCCACUGAGCUGCACAUACUGAAUGUAGUUAAGCCAGUCAAUGGAUUGGUCUGAGAGGCCUUUACCUCACAAUCUGUGACAUUAAAUGUCACUGUUAACAGUACCAAAUGCCUUGGAGCCAUUGAUGGAAAGUGCUGCGUGAUAAUUUUGGUGGUAAGCUAGAAGUAAUUGCACAGCAGCAUUGCAUUGUGGGAGAGGCAAAAUUGUCCAAACUAGGUAAAGGAGCCCACAUAUUACACACAUUAGUGUGCUGAGAGGGUGAAGGUUGCUUUGCAAACUUAUCAAAUCCUUGAUACAAAAGGAAAUUGGACAACUUUGUAAUAUUUAUAUUUCAAACUGAUCGGGGGAAAAAAUGAAAACUAUCUAACUGAAUUGUCUGAUAUUUCAAGUGGAAAACCACAUCACACCACUUUUUAGCUGAUAUUCGACAGUAGCUAACAAUAGUUUCCUUAUGCUCUCUAGCAUUAGCUCAGAUUUAAACACCAGAGGCUGCUGGUGUUUGCUUACCAUCCAGGUAGGUUUGCAAAGGACCCGAACCACUCCACUGACUCCCUCUGACAGGAAAAAUAUUUCUCCUGAAGGAAACUCCUUUUUGCUGCUCCAGGAUUGUAACCAUCCCUUUCUUUUCAGAUAUUCAAUCUGUUGCCUGUUAAAAAAGCUUCUCCUAUUCCACACGAAGUUGAAGAGGAUCAAGGAUGCUUCCAGAUGAGAUAUAGAUCAACUGGGCUGUACCCGCGCCGUGCCUCUGAUGAUGCAUACAACGUUUUCAAGGUAAUUUUUACACUACGUUCCAGUGCUAAAAUUUUAUUUGUUUCAUAAACCUUCACUCUCUUUUUUGUUUUUUUUUUUGCUCAAUUAUCCAGAAUGUUGGAUUGAAGAUGGCGACCAAUUUGUUCAUUAGAACACCUACCUGCAUCAGAUUCAGAGGAGAGGAGUUCCACCGCGGCUAUGAUGGUAAGCUUUCACAUGUCAGUACUCCUUGGUAUUAGAUACCAACUUUUCCCUUGUUUUUAACAUUCAAACUUUUUUUUCUCAUUAGAUUGAGCUAGAGAGACAGGACAUACAAGGACAGAAUGGGCAGUGACAUUCACCAAAUCAUGUCAGAACCUGGAAAUGAUAAUGUGAAAGGUUUUUUAAAGGUGAUGAAACAGGCUGAAAUUUAUAUCAGUGCCCUGUUAUGCGCUACAAAAGUAAACCAAGUUAAAUCAGUGUAAAGAUUGGUUAUGUCUUUAGUUAUUUUUAGUAACUAAAGCUUCUCCCUGAGUACCUGCCAGACCAAGUGAGUCACAGCAUGCUAAAGACAGAGCUUUGAUCAAUGUUUUUAUGGCAAAGAAUCUCAAUGGAAGAUAGUUUGGCAGGAAUCAGUUUUUGUUCUAAACCCUGUGUACACAUAAACAGGACAAAUUCAACAAAGUUUAGAGCUACCACUUGUCCACAGGGGGCAACAAAAUGAACAAAAUCAAAAGCUGCUCAGAGGAGCUUCCUGUGACUGUUAUCUUUUAUUUAUACAACCUAAAACAUGCUGACCAGUCUGAUUUUAUAGUCAUUCACCUACUCCUUCCUAGGCAUUAGAGCUACGCCUAGGUGUAACUGAAAAAAAAAAGGCUCAGAUGUAACUGGUGCACAGGACCAAUCUUUAGAGCUGUCAUAACUUAUAGCUCCAAGUGGCACAAAAGGAUGCACCUCAGGCCUCAGCUCUACACAUGCACUCAGUCUCUGAUGAUGGUUUCUUGUAGGUUGUCUCUUCUCAAAUCUGGAGACGUUUUUAAUUUCUGAUAAAAUAUUUUGUGGUUUCUUUACAGGUCCUGUUUUCCAUCAUACAUUUAAUAGUCCAAGGUGGGGGAUAACAUUAGGCUAUGCUCCUGGAGUGAUGAUGAAAUCAGGAGUGUUAGAAGCUGCACCAGAAGCUGCACCUGUAGAGACAGUCCGCAGUUUUUUCCCUGAGACUUGGAUAUGGGACCUGGUGGAUGUUGGGUAGGUUUCCAUCACUUGACGGCAAACUGUAUCAGAGAUUUUCUAACUUUUGUACAUGAUUGUAUGAUGUAUGAUUUUCCAGUAAGAUGUUUUUGCCCUAUUUAACACUGCACUCAUUGUAAAACAGCUGAGUUCUUCUCUGUAUAAAAUGUUAGAAUCGCCCCUUGAAUGUGAAGAUAAGUGGUACAUUUUUGGUAAGAAAUUUUUGUUUCUGAGGUCCCUGCUCCUCCAGCUCUAAGAAGAGGCCUGCGUGUUUUUGUGUUUCUGCUCAUUCAGAGAGACUGGAACAAAAGAUGUGCCCCUCACCGUCCCUGACACCAUCACCACCUGGGAGACGGAGGCUUUCUGUUUGUCUCCUCAAGGUAUCAGCUUGGCUCCUCGUAAAGAGUUCACUGUCUUCCAGCCCUUCUUCCUGGAGCUCAGCCUGCCUUACUCCAUAAUCCGAGGGGAGACUUUUGAGCUGAAGGCGACUGUCUUUAACUACAUGAGCAGCUGCAUCAUGGUAAUUAAUGCUGGAAAUAAAGUUUAUAAAAAUUAAAGUAAAACUGCGUGUCUUAAAAAAAAUCCAGUAAAGCUAAAACAAAACAAGGCUCUUCAGAUAUAUGUGUAAAAUAAAGAAGUUCAUCACCCCUGUGUGGUAGAGGAGAUGAUAAUGGAAAAGUCUUCUUUUGUGCUGCUGUAACAACUUGCUUGUAAUUUUUCCCCAGAACGGCAUCGAUCAGACUGUUUUAUUAAAUUCUGUUAUUGAGGUGUCUUUUCAGAUGAAGAGCUCUUCAAAGCUUUAAAAAUAGUCUGUUUUAAACUCUUUUAUCUUGAUGACUUUUUACAAUUAAUUUAUAAAAUAUGAAUUUGUCUCUUUUGAACAGGUUACCGUGACUCCAACCCCAUCUUUGGAUUACACCCUCACCCCCCUCUCUGGUGACCAGUACACAUCGUGUUUGUGUGGCAAUGAGCGCAAGACCCUCAGCUGGAACAUGGACCCCUCAGCUUUAGGUGAGGGUCAGGCUUUUGUUCCCACCUGUGUUGACAAGUUAAAGAUUGAAAAUAGGGCCGUUUAAAUAUGGCAGCGAGAGGGCAAUAAAACAAUGGAGAUGAAAAGGCCCAGAGAGUUGCUAUAAUGGCUAUGAUUUGUUCUUAACGGAUCUGAGCUGUAAAAACAAAUAAUGACUGGAACAAAUAUUUCAUCUACAUUGCCUUUUUGUUAUUAUUGCUAAAACAGUGUGUCACGCAAUAACAUGUCCUGCCCAAAACAGGCCAAUAAAAGCACCAUUUCAAAAAAAACCAAAGCAGAAACAAAACACAGAAAGGGGUCCACUGAGUGGAUUGUGGGCAUUAGUAGGCAGUAAAAAUGUGCAUUUAUUCUCGCUAACUGAUAUGUCUUAGAUCCAGUUCACAAAGCAUAGUUUUUAGUUUUGAGACUUCUGUGGAGUUCAUGUUUUGUGUUUGAUUUUGAAUCUGUGCUGUGCUCAUUUCCUAAACCUCCAGUACAGCCCACUUCUGUCCUCAUAUAAACAGUAGAUGAUGAGCUAAAUACUAGUGGCAAAUAAACUAUACAAAUUGUUUUAGGUCCUCCAGAGGUGGAAUCUGGAGGUUGUCAUAAAAACUGGAACAUUUGAGCCGGACAUCUGUAAAAAACAAAGCAGCUCAGUCUCACCCAACUCUAAGCAGAUGUUAAUUUUUUUUUACCAAAAGAAAAACCUUCGCACUAUCUGUGUGUGACUGUGAAGUGGAUUGUUUUUGCAAUGAGGUUCAUUGGCAAAGAAAGGGGCUGAUUUGGGCCUAAAUUAAUCAUUCAUGGAUCACAGAAAUUUGUGCAGACAAUAUUGACAUGCUGUUUACUUUGAACUCUUCAUGUGUGUUUUGUAAUUUACACGCUGUCUCUGUAACCCUUUCCUGAAUCAGGACAAUAGAUUGCACAUAAUAACAAAUGUAUACAUCAUCCUAACGUCUCAUUGAGGCUUUACAAACCAAACUAUAACUACAACAUCUGCAGCAUAGUUUGUUUGUUUUUUUACUUUAUAAAAGAUAAAUUAUUUUUAUACCAGUAAAAUCCAACAGUGAGAUGUAAAGACUAAAGAGGAGUUUGUUUUUUGUAUUUUUAGGUGUUAUGAAUGUGACUGUGAGCGCCGAGGCUGUGGCGUCCCACGCUUCCUGUGACAAUGAGAUUGUGAGCGUCCCAGAGAGAGGUCGCAUCGAUGUGGUCACCAAAUCCCUCAUAGUAAAGGUUAGCACCUUGAAACUUUAUUCCAUAUAAAAGAAGGAGACGGCUCUUAAACAUGAAACCAAAUCCUCUAUGGCUCCCUGAAUGACUGGCUGCAGUUAAGGUCAUAAGAUACAUGUCAACAGUUUUUAUUUUAAACAGGUUUUCUGUCAUUAUAGUUAGUUACUAUCCAGGCAAUUUCUGUCCAGGUGUUUAUUUUCUUGAGAGAAUAACUUUUCAUGAGAUCUUUGAUGCUGGACACAGGGGUGUGUGAUUGACAGCUCUGUCAACAAAUGAGGCUGCUUUAGAGCUCUGUGUCCAGGAUCAGUCGAGGACUGAGGAGGAACAGAGAGAGGAAGCAUAACAAAAAGCUAGAUCGGCAUUCAGGGUGGCAAAAAUCUAUUUAGACCUUGCCUCGACUUGCCAGCAGAAAUGACUUUAUUUAAUUUGGAUCAGCUCUUCUUUUAAGGGUAACAGUUUUAUCCACAAAAUUUUGUCAAAAACAGGAACUCUGAUACAAACAUUGUUUUCUCGGCCCUCAGGCUGAAGGAACUGAAGUGACAAAAACCCACAACUGGCUGCUUUGUCCAAAAGGUCUGUGUGGUUUGUAAAAAGAUCAUCAACAUCCCAAUCUUAUCAUGUCAUUGUAAAUUAAGAUCUUUAAGUACUGAGUUUUUCAGUUUAUCUCAAUGAAGGUUUUGUUCUCCGUCAACAGAUGAGGCUUUGACAGAGGAAGUAGACAUACAGCUCCCUGAUAAUGUGAUUGAAGGAUCUGCGCGUGCGCUUGUUUCAGUCCUAGGUAAAGUGAUGUCUCUCAUUUGAGUGAUCUACUAGUGCUCGAGUGUUGGUUCUUUUUGACAUGGGAUUCCUUCCUGAAGAGACAGUAGAAAACUGUGUUUUUGUGCAGGUGAUAUCCUGGGUCGAGCUCUGAAGAACCUGGAUGGGCUUCUGCAAAUGCCAUAUGGAUGCGGAGAGCAGAACAUGGCCCUUCUGGCCCCCAACAUCUACAUCCUCCAAUACCUGAAAAACACCCAGCAACUGACCCCAAAAAUCAUGGAGAAGGCUUCUAACUUCCUGACCAGUGGUGUGUGUCUGCAGUUUUAAUAUCGGAGACAAACAAAAUAAGAAACUCCCCCAACCAAGAUAAAACUGAUAGUACUAUGACUUCAACUUUUUCACCUCUGUGCUUCCCUUCAGCCAAUAUUAAACUCAUUCAUAGCAACAAAGUUUAUGUAAAAAUGCAGAAUCUACAUUACCACACCUGGACCUCAGUAAAAUCCGAUCCGAUGUGUAAAUGUUUAAGUGAUAAUAGCAGGUAUUUAUUCCUCUGUCACAGGCUACCAGAGACAGCUGAACUACAAGCACAGUGAAGGUGCUUACAGCACGUUUGGAACGGGAUCAGGAAACACCUGGUGAAAAUAUUUCUGAAUCAUAAUUGGAUGUUUGCUUAAAUAAUACACUGAUGUUUCUGCAUAAGUUUAAAGGCUUGUAUUUUGUGCUGACUGUCAGAGUAUUUGAAAUAUGACCACUUAUGUAAUCCUGGAUAUGAGUAAAGUCAGGGGGUAGUCCAGUGAUCCCUCAGGGGUGUUAUGUUGGUUUCAAAGAGACAUUUUCUCGACAGUUUAAUGACUGAUGUGUCUGUUAGAGGUUUUUUUUAAGUUUUCUGACAGUUAGGCCACAAAGUUAAACUCAGUCCAUAUAUGGAAGCUGAUCUCAGGGUCAGCCCAUAUCAACUUAGAGCUCUGUCAUUUAUCUUUUACACAUCAAAACAGGAGUUUUCCUAAACUGCUUUAGCCUGCCGACUCCUUUGCAGACCACUCUGUUAAAUGUAUUUUCUCUGUUGUCUGUCAUGCACAUAAUUUAAAGGGAGGUGUGCUCUCUCAGGCUUUGGCAUUCAACAUACUCAUGACGAGGAGGAGAGAAAACCCCAAGAGCAGCUUAAACUGCUGGAUAAAACUUAUUGCAUGCCAAACAAUAUUGUGUCUAAUGUGGCCCUGACUAGAAACAAAAUUGGGAAGAAUUUAUUGGAUAUAAACUGAAUUUGAAGUUUGAUCCAUGUCCCAUCUGUUAACAUGGAGGAGAUAAGCUUCAUGAUCUGUCAUGCAGCUUGUCAGUAGGCUUAACUUUUGGGGAGCCGUCAUUCCAUUAAUCUUUCUGUAUGCUGUUAUGAUACAGGCUGAAAUGAAGCUGAAAUGAACGGGUGGAUAGAUAGAAGAAGUGAUUAUUAAGAAAUAAUGAACAAUUCUUAACCAAUCAAAAACAAGUAUUUAUCCAGACCAUGUGAUUCUGUGUUUGUUAUCCUCAGGCUGACGGCUUUUGUGUUGAGAUCUUUUGCCAGAGCUCAGAAUUUUGUCUUCAUUGACCCAAGACACAUCAGACAGUCAACAUCCUGGCUGAAAAAUCAGCAACGGGAAACCGGCUGCUUUGUAAAGUCUGGGAAACUUUUCCACAACAGAAUGAAGGUAAUAUUGUGUUGUUGUUUUUUUUGUUUGUUUUUUGUUUUCAUCUUUUAAACUGAACUUUUUGCACUAAUUUAACUGAACUUUGUCCACCACACCUUCACACUGACUUUUUCUUUGUGUGCUAAUAAUUUUUUCAUGUACACAGGUGAAAUGAAUGAAUGAACAAGUGGAGAUGUCUCAUGUUGGAGGGCUGAUAUUUUUAAUUUUUUAAUCUUUUUGGGGUAAAAUAAUCCAAUGCAUAGUUAAAGGCAUACCUAAUCUUCUUUUUAUUUCUGAACACCUUUUGUUUUUUGACAUAGUAAUCUUUAUUAACAGUAUCAAUUGUUACAUAUUGUGUCAAUUAUGUGUUCGCUAGUGCAGUUGUAAUCUUUGGUUACCAAAUUUUCGUGUGGUGUCAUUGACACUGAUGUUUUGGGAAAAAAACAUCAGAGAUGCUAUGCUACAAGCAGCAAAUACAAACUACGUAGACUGGAUCCUCAGUCGCGUUCCUAUGCUCGCCUGUUUUGUUGGGAACCCUUCUGCAUCAUCAGCAGGUAUCUCAGGGUCGCAGGUGUUUCGCCCCUUAUCCAGUGCACCUUGCCUGAGUGGGGCUGCGGAGGCUGGUUAGCCAUCGCCUGCAGAAGGGUUCCAACUUUGGGCCCUCUUCAGCCACAACCAUCUCGAGCUGGAUUCUGCCAUUGUGGCUAUGUCCCUGAUGACUUUCUUCAGCUGUUUGGGCUCCAAACCAAUUCUCUGGAGGAAGAAGCACACCUAUUUUGCUGGGAACCCACGGCAGCCGACCUCAAUGGGGAAAAUGGUUGCGUGCCACCCUUUCAGAGCUGCCUUAUCAAUCAGGUCUUGGUACUUAGCUUUUUUCAGAUGGUGGGAUGUGGCUAGCCUCUCCACCCAGGGCAAGGGUAAGUUCUGCCACUAUGAUGGUUUUAGUGCUCUUGGAAAGGAGGACCAAAUCUGGUAGGAGGGAUGUUGCCACUACAUCUUGAGGGAAGAUGAGUUUCCUCUUCAGGUCCAUGUUCAACUCCCAGCCGGAGGCUUUCUGCAGGAUGAAAGGUAGAUUUUUAGCUGCUGUUCUGCUCUUAGGGGCCUUGCCACCCUCCUUCAGGAAUCCUAUGGCAUUAGGUGGUUGGGUGACCUUGUCAUGCCUCCACCUGUAGCGUCCCUCUGCUAAUGCUUUAGGACAACCAGUCAGAUUGUGAUUCAGUGUGCAGUAGGCUGCUCCAAACUGUUUGCAAGAUGGAUCUUCCUCUGCACCCCAAAUCUUUAGGUUGCUUGGGGUUGGCAGCAGAUCAGCCACUGCUUGUAGGAGGAAAGACAGUUCCCCUGGUCAGUUUGCCAUAGGUCCUUCCAGGACAGUGGUUGCUCCAGUGCCUGGUCCCACUGUGUCCACCUACCUUAGGAAGCUAGCCCUAUUACUAGUGCUCUUUUGGCUCUGGCGUUGGCUUUGCUCUACCUCUUGCCAUCAUUGUUUCCAAGACCUAAGUGGCCUUGACAUACCAUGCCGACAAUCUCCUGAUAUCUCCAGUGUGCUUCUGCCUCAGUCACUGCCUGCUGAGGCCUCCACUACCUGCCGCACUUGAUGUUCUUACUUGCAUGCCUCACUUUCCCAUCUUCAGAUGAGAAGAGUGUACUGACUGCCCUUGCCUUGGUGGUUUUGAAUUCCUCAGCCACCGAUCUUACUGGUAGGGAAAGCUUUGAGGUCUUGCUGUAAAGAUUGACUAAGCUGAAAGAUGGAGGGACGCCCAGCCAUUUCUGCAAGAGCUUGCUACGGAGCCUCCCCAUCCCUUCUACUUGGGACAUGGGUAAAUCAUAGAGCAAAAAGGGCUACUGCAGUUGAGAUAUGAUUCCAUAUUGAAAACACCACACCUGGAACCUCCCCAGCUGUUGGCUGUUAUUGAUCGCCUUAAGCCAUGUGUUAAGCUGGUAAUUGUUGCUGGUGAGGCCUUUCCAAGGCCCCUGAUGCCUUGCACUUGAAUUCUUGGGAUGUCUGAGCCUUGGAUGCUAAAGAUGUUUCCUUUCAGCUUCCCUUUCAGGAUGCUGAGGUUCCUUGACUUCUCAGGCUUGAACUGCAGCCGGGCCCUUGUGGCUGUCUUUUCCAAAGCACUUAGGAUCCAUUGUGCUCCUUGGAUUGACAGAGUCAUAACGGUAAUGUCGUCCAUAAAGGCUCGGCAGGCGGGGUGUCUUGUGCCGUCCUCUGCUUUCGGGCCCCUGCACUGUGAUCUUCCUACUUUGAGCAGUAGGUCUAAUGCAGCUAUGAAUACGGUCACUGAAAUCAUACAUCCUGCCAUGAUGCCCUUUUAUUGUAAAGUUAUUCUUUACAAAUGUCACUAUUAAUCAAGAACAUAAUGGGAUCUGCUCCGAUUAAAUACGUCAUCAAUAUUUUUAUUCUUGUAGGCACGAAUUGUUGAUCAUAUGUUUUUUCUAAGUUGUAGUGCAACUUUCCACCAUUAGCUAGGACUGUAGCACUGGUUUUUGAACAUCCCUCUGUUAUAGUUAAACAUUGUGUAUUAUUAUGGUUUUAGAAAAAAAUAUUAAACCAAGAGGAGCUCAUUAAUAUAUUUAAAUUGCUUUCAAAAAAAAAAAAACAAUAACAAUAAUACCAGUUCACCUUUUUUUUUAAGCUUUGAUUAAAAUAUGGACUUCAGACUAAAUGAAAUGAAGAAGUAUUAUUAGGUCAUAAAGAGCCUGUUAGUUGGAGUGACGUCUUUGUUUUUCAGAAUAAUUCUCCUAUUCCAGCAUCCACAGCUGUUUUACUGACAGUCACAUGAAUGAGAGAUUUUAGUCCGGAUGUUGGAGGGUCAGUGAUGUUAACUUUCUGUCAUAAAACUUCCUCUUUACAGGGUGGUGUGUCUGAUGAAGUGACCCUCAGUGCGUACAUUAUUGCUGCCUUCCUGGAGAUGAACUCGUCUGUUAGUGUGAGUAGACUCUUAAAGGACAAACAGCUCAGGUCUUUUUCUUGUUUUUCCUAGUUUUGUAAGAGGAACUUGUCCUGCUUAUUGACUUAAAACCACUGCAUGUACAUCCUGUAAAAACGCAGUGAGACAAAGAGUUUUGUUCACUUGUAACCUUUUUAUGUUUUUUCUUGAAUUUACGAUGAAGAAAGUUCUUUUAAAAAAUGUAAAUCCAUUUCACGACCCUGCUCUUGAAUUGAAGAUGUGCUGGAUACAAUUUUAAUGAGUUUUCCUGAGAAUGGUAGAAAUGUCUUUUAUGGUAAAAUGUUCAAAAAAGUUGUGAAGGGCUCAGUCCUUUCAGGAAAGUGAGCAUUUUAAGGUCAUUGAUCACAGGAUCCUGUAGUGGAAAAAGGUCUGUCCUGCCUCAGAGCGUCCCUGGGUGACCUCAGCAACACCUACGCCACGGCUCUGAUGGCGUACGUCUUCACUCUGGCAGGAGACACGGACACCCGAGCUCAACUUCUGAGGCAUCUUGACACAGUUGCGAUACACAAAGGUCGGUAACCAGCUCAAAUAAUUCUUUCUGGUAUCAUCCCUGAGCAUGUAGCUCACCCUGUGUCUGUUUCCCUGUUUGUGGCUGAUUUUAGGAGGGUACCUCCACUGGUCUCAGACAGCAACAGACACCUCGUCCUCCUUGUCUGUGGAGAUCAGCUCUAAUGUGUUGUUGGCCAAACUCAGCGUCCCUCCGUCUGUCGAAGAGCUGGGCUACUCCACCCGCAUUGUCAGAUGGCUGACCACCCAGCAGAACUAUUAUGGAGGCUUUUCCUCCACACAGGUACCACAGAAACAAAGUAAACUGGAGCAAAUAUGGGACAGAUAUGAGAGACAGAUAGUGUUCUUCAAAAUGUCUGUUUCUCUGAAAAAUGUGCUCUCUAAAGGCUCUGAUCAGGGAAUUAUCUUACUUUAAAGAUUAGACAAAAUGGAAAAUCUAUUGAACUAUAAAUACUGGGAUCAUGAAAAAAAUACUGAUCUCAGCUUGUGUUUGUGUGUGUGUUUAAAAAUAACGGGCUAUUGUCAAUAUCUUUAUGAAUUUUGAGUACCGUUACGUCUUUGUCAGAGACCUACAAUUUCUCCAUCAUAAAAUAACACUUCUCCUUCAUAAUAACAUUUCUGUUUGUGUGUUUUAGGACACAGUGGUGGCUCUUCAGGCUUUGGCUCUUUAUUCCACUCGCGUGUUCGGUCCAGAGGGUUCAAGUACCGUGACUAUCCAGGCUCCCAGCGGUCAGUUGUCAUUUGAUGUGAACCUGCAGAACAAACUUCUCUACCAGGAGGAGGUGCUGAAGGACGGCGAAGGAAAGUACAGCCUGGAAGUGAGAGGAACUGCAUGUGCUUCAAUGCAGGUUAGUGAACAAGCUGUCUGUCUACUUUGAGACAAGGGGCUCUAUUUUCGUUCGCGCCGGUGAGGCGGCGGAGGGCGGCGAGCCCCGCGCAGUUGUAUUUUCGUCUGGUGGAGCCCGGCGUAAGGCGAGUUUGGUAUUUUCGUGGACUGAGUCGCACGGAGGCGAGCCGAGAUCCGCCAAGCUGGGCGUGGUGGCGUGGCAGGGGGAGGUGUUGACAGAAUCAGCUGGCGCAGUGACAUUUUCGUGCUCGCCACUGGCGUGUAACGUGCGCUGAAAGCUCGCCGAUUCAAACCUGGUCAGCUUUCAGCGCAAGGCGGAACGCAGCUGGUCAAGUAGUAUUUUGGUAGACCGGCGGCGUAUCGACAUACGUCACUGAUGCCUCACCGGCAGGUUUCCACAGUGUCAGGCAGAUUUCAGUGCAAUAAAUAAUGAUCAACAACUAUUAAUCUGAGUCAGCACAUACAUUUAGAUCUAUAUCGAUAUAUUCUGAUCUAUAUCUGAUCUGAUGAGCGCGUUUGGCACGCGUUUGGACACACAACCUGACCGAAUCAAUACAGCUGAAACCGCAUCAAAUUAAAUUAAAUAUCUAGUAAAUAAACACACAUGAUGAAGUUAACAAGAUAUGUAAUGUGUCUCCCUCCUUUUCUUUCUUCCUCUUCCUCUUAUUUCUCGCACAGCUCGACCUGGACACGUCUCCGUGUCCUCUGUCCGUCUUCCUGCUGCUGCUGCGGCUGAACAGAUGAUUUGUUUCAGUGCUCAGAUGCGUUAUCUACUUUAAGCCGACAUACGGAUAUUAUAAUAUUCAGUUUUGUGAGCCAAAUUUAUUUUAUAUGCCAACAUCUAUGAAAGAAAGAGCCAGGCCACGGAGCGCGAUGCGUCAUUUACGCACAGAUGGUUCCGAUUUUAAUGCCUUUUUGGAGUUUAUGUUGUGAUCUGUGCGCUCAACCCACCUUUGUCACGUGAGGUUUGAAUAUAUGCAACUUUAUGUGAGUGUCUUUAUUUGUGGAAAAGGGUGUUUGUCUUACCAGUGGGUCCAACAUUACGCACACCAAAUCCAUCUGUGCUCAGAUGAGAGAGUGUGGAGGACACUUGUUGAGCAGCUGCCCUCUGUCGCCAUCGUGUGGCAUAACUGUCUUCAGACAUCUCUUGAUCUCUUUGACUACUUCAUGAAAAUAGUAAUACGCCUCGCCUGUGGCGGAUUUAAAGGCGAGGAGAGGAGCUAAUGUGAUUGGUGAAAACAGGUCUCGGCUGUGUUAAACCCCCGAUACGCCCUCUCUUCUCCCCGUCUAUGAUUUAUGCUGCCGGGAGGAGCUGAGUUAGGGAGGGGGGAUACUUACGCCGGGCUGCGCGGCUCACCAAAAUACCAAAAUGUGCUUGGGAACGCCUUGUCAGCGCGGCGGAUCUGAUUGACUCUGCGCUUGCGGCACGUCUCCGGCGAGGCACCAAAAUAGAGCCCAAGGUUUUAUCCCAGGGACUGGGAGGUGAUCAUUCCAACCAUGUCCUGCCAUAUCGUAUUGUGUUGUACCUUUUUCUAAUAUACUCCACCUACUCAUUGUGUUUCCCCUGUCAAGAGCUUGUUGCGUCAUAUUGUGUCCUUUGCACUUUUUUAGUUGUAUCAUCAUUUACCCCUUCAUACCAUAAUGUCAUGAUUACUUUGUAUUACAUUACAUUGAUUACAUUGCACUGUAAUUUGGAUAGUGAUUAACUGAAACAAAGCCUGAAGUGGCUAAUGCAGUGAACAAGGUGAAAAGAUGGUCAGUAGCUGCGUUUACAUGGGCACAAAUAAUCGGAAUAAAUGCCCGAUCAGAAUAAAAAAGUGUCAUGUAAAAAUGUCAUCCGGAAAAUUCUGAUCCAGUUCAGCUCAAUCUGAAAGAAAUUGUAUUCCAAUUGAGAAGGGUGGUUUAUGCCAAUCGUUAUUCUGAAAUGCGUCCAUGCCACACUUACUCUGAUUGUGACUCUCUUACCUGACUCAAUCUUCACUCUUUGGCCAUUGGUUUAUUUAUGGAGACCAGUUGACGAGGUUUCACUAUUAACACUCUGGCAUAAAAUACGCAACCUUUGACAGAACAGUCAAAAAAGUACACAAGGGCGUCAUCUAGUGACAACAUUUAACAGGGAGAAAGCUCCUGAAUUUGAUGGAGUGAGCCACGACUGCGUAUGUUGGUUUGUUGACAGCACAGGCGUAAAUACAACUCUUCUUCUGCAGUUGUUUUAGCGAAAUUAGACAACUCUGCGCAUGUCCAAAUGCUUCUGAAUAAUCUGAAUAAAGCUUGGUGCAAGUGUAUGCACAUCAUGAUCAUUUGAUUUUCUGCUCAUAUUGACAGUGGAUUCAGAUUAUCCGAGCCCUCAAAUCUAUCAGAUCAAGAAAUUUGCCCAUGUAAACAUGGCCAGUGUGGAAACAGUUAUGAAUGCAUGUUCACAAGGCUCCACCCAGAAAUCAGUGCAGGGAAUGUGUUUAUGUGCAGGGUUGUCAUACAACGAUAGAAAUAAAAACAAGUUUUGGCUUUAACACGGUAGGUGGCAUUUGGAUUUUUUAGCAUAAAAAGUGUCAUAAGAAGGUAAUUUGUCAUAAGAAGGUGAUUUUCAGAUAGUCAACAUGUGAUCCAUUGGCAGUGAAAAUGGGGAAUUUUCUUAUUGACAGAGUUUACUUUGUAAGCUGGACAAAGUUCGGCUGGUGUUAUGAUUAGUGAAAAUCUUAUACUGUUGUUGUUGAUCUGUUUACCAGAUUUCUCUUCACUACAACAUCCCAACUCCGACUGCUGGCACCACGCUCAGGGUGGAGGUCCAACCAGAAGCCACCUGUACAAGCAUUUCUAACAGGCGCAGGCUUACUCUAAAGACACAGACCUUGUAAGAUGAUUUAAGUUAGCUGACACAACUCUGAACCAGAGCGUUAUCUCUUUUGGUUUGUUGUGUUUUCUUUCAUAUGUUUUCGUCUGCUCUGCUAACAUGGAGCAUCUGUACUGUGUUUUGUUACAGAUACUAUGGGGAGGAGGACACUACAAACAUGGUGAUACUUGAUAUCAAAAUACUGUCAGGGUUUGUCCCAGACCCGCAGUCUUUGGAGACGGUGAGUUUCUUUUAUACAGUGACUUUAACCUGAGAUUUUUUUGGAUGUGAUGGUGAGGAAUAACAUUAAUUUUGGCCAUUGAUUGACUUGAAACUUACAAAGAAUAUCACUUCACGUGUUUACACUCACUUCAUCACUUUACACUUUCCCAUUUCACACAAUAAAGUGCACACCAUCAUAGACCAAAAAAAAAAAAAAAAAAAAGGCUGAAGCACAAGGGUUAUUGUUUCAUAUCCUUUACAGUCUGCAGUAUAACCCAGGACACUUCAAAAUUAAUAAUAAUAAUGAUCUAAAAAAACAAAACAAACUUUAAAGGGGACCUGCCAUAAAAAUGUAAUUUUUGGGGUUUUUUGUGUCAUAUAAGGUCCAUAUUAUGUUCGUCUUAUGUUGUACAUGUGAAAACAAACCGUUACGUCGUUUGCAUUCUGUAAAGGUUUAAAAUCAAGGAACAAGUAAACCAGGCCAAUUGAAAAAGCAGGUCGGUGAUACGUUGCGCCGACCUUGCUCAUUAUUAUUCACGAGCGCGUCCUCGGUGAGCCGCGCCCACUCUCUCGUUCUAGUACUCAGUCACAGCCAGAGCGAGACCCAGCUACCGCUGUAUCCGCUAUGGGUCUCUUCCAAAUGACCGGUGUUUCCUUCGGUUCACUGCCGGGAAAAUGAACUUAAAGCCGGGCAGAAUGAAUGAGAAAACACCGCUGGAGAUCUCCGGCUUCUUCCUCAACUUCCACCUCCUCUUUGGACUCGGGGUCUAAAAUAUAUGGUUUAAUACCUGCCGUUUUUAGCCUUUAGCAUAAGGUGACCAGACGUCCCCGAUUUCCGGGGACAGUCCCCGUAUUGGAUGAUCUGUCCCCGGCAAAAGCUGUCCCCGAAAAUGUCCCCGAUUUAAGCGUUUCAUUAAUGAGAGCAAAAAUGUUGAGUGUGGGCUCGAACAACGGUUAUUACAGUAGCCGAAUUUAGUUAGCAGUCCUGAACAACAGUUCUUACGGGGGUUAUUACAAGGGGCAUGCGCUGCUACUAAAUAGUACCGAGACUUUGUCUGUGAUCACACAGCCCCUGCAGCCCCUGCACCACCGCCGCCGCACCGAAUAUCCCCGGAUAUCAUUACAGAUAUCUGGGCACCUUACUUUAGCACACAUUAGCAUAUGCUAUUAGCAUUAGCAUAAUAACAGUGGAUAAACCGAAAUCCGAACCUCCACUGCUGAGCCAAUCAGAGCACAGCAGGCUUCACAGCAGCGAUCCAAUCAGAGCAAAGCUCAUUACCAUAAAUGUUAAUGAGCCAAAACCAGUUGGUUUUCCUGUAAGGUUUUUUAGGCAUACUAAAACAAACCAUCAAAUAACUUUUCAGCUAAAAUUAUGUUGCAAACAUGAUCAGAGGACAUCAAGGAUUAUGAAAAAUUGAUAAAAAUGGGUAUGAAAUUUUGGUGGCAGGUCCCCUUUAAUAAUAACAAAAGCACAUUUCUUCUAAAUUACAUUUAUCAAUGCUCAUUCAUUUUUGUUAUGAUUAUUGAUUUUUUUUUUAUUUUGAGACUCGUUUAAAACUUCUUACAGAAUUUUAAACUCAUAACUAAAAUUAUUUAGGUUUAACUGCAGAAACUGAAACACAUCUGUAUUUUAAUUACAUUUCGUUUUACCUGUUUUCAACACACACAUCCCUCUAAAAUUUUAACGACCUUUUCUUGAUUUUAACAAACUUUGGAUGGAAACUGGCAGACUGUGAUUCUUUGUUCGAAAAAAAAUUCUAAUGUUUUUUUGUCUUAUAUAUCUGAAAAGUACAAUAUGCUAAAUGUCAUGAUGAAGGUGAUGAUAAUCUAGCUGACUACUGUCUCCACACAGCUCAAACAUGCCAUGCGGGUGGAUCGUGUUGAGGAAAAGAAAGAUCAUGUCGUGGUGUACCUUAAUGAGGUGAGAGGAGUCACAGUGAAGAAAAAGGACAGUACUUAGAUGUAUAGAAUUGUUACUAAUCACAUUAUCUUUUUGUCUUUCAUUAGUUGCAGAAAGACACACCCAUCAAUCAUGAGUUAGCGCUCAUACAAGAGCUCCCAGUGCAGAACCUGAAGCCUGCUGUUGUCCUGGUCUACGAUUAUUACCAGCCAAGUAAAUGAUCUUUACACACAAACCCUGAGACUUUAUGUUUAAUAUCACCAUGUUUAAUGUUCAAAGUUUUGUCUCUGAUCUGCCUAUCAGAAAAAUAUUACAUAUGAUCUCAAAAUAUUCUGUGGUUAAUUCAUUAAACUCUAACAAUGCUGCUGCAGCUUUUCAGACAGGCUCAGACCCUGAUUGAAAACCAUAUAAUUAAAUGUAAUAUUUAAUACCCUUGUAAUGUGUCAGAAAUCAUGAUAAUAGUGAAAAACCUAUUUCAAGAUCACGUUUAAGAGGUAAUAUAAGGUAAACUUUAUUGAACCCCCACUGGGGAAAAUUGUUACAGCAACUUAAAAACAAAAGACAGUGGAGCACAACAGUGAACUUUCAAAGUUUGAAUAGAACAAUAUUAAAAGUAAAAAAAGAAUAGCCGUAUAUACAAAUGUACAAUCUGUAAGCAGGUUUUAUCAGCAGGUUGUUAAAAACAGACUUUAUGUAAUGUCAUGAUGACAUGAGUGCGGAUACAGCACUAUAUGAAUAAGUAGAAAUAUGAUCUAGCUAAGAUUGUGACCUUCUUAUACAACUAUGAUAGUAAUACUAUACCCUAUAUGAGGGUAGGUACUGACAUUGCAUUAAUUGUCCUUACAUGCCAGAUACAGGUGCAUCUCAAAGCUUUAAAAUAUUGUAAAAUGGUAAAACGUAUUACCAUUUAGUAAAGACAGUGAUUCAAGGUUAAAGAACCCUGACUCAGUACUGAAUGAAGAAGUGAAUUUUAGCUGUAAAAGUUAUAACUGAAAUCCUUGAUUAAUUGAUGUUAGGAAAAUAUUCAUCAAAGUUGCAACAAAAAAGGCUUAAAAUGUUUCACUUCACUUGCAAUGGCUAUAGAAGAGAAAAAAGAAAAAAAACGACAAAUCAGAGCAACAAAGCAAAUGUUAAAGUGAGCUUGCACCUUGAAGCAAACAACAUCAAGUCUUGGACUCAAGUGCUAAACAAACUUGGCAGACACUAGUCUUAGCUGUUACCAAAGAUGAUCAGCACUCUGAAACUGAGGUCAGUGGGUACUGCGAGUGGGAAACCACAUACCUGGAUGCAGGUCCUAAAUCAAAGAAAACUAAAAUAGGUUCAUGAUUAAAAGUCCAGACUUUAAAAGGAUCUCUAGACUGAGGGACACAGUAUGUUUGUUUGUUAUGACUUUUGACGACAAACAGAAAAUCUUACUCAUGUUUUUAUCUAGUUUCUCUUUCUCCCUUUUUCUAAUUUUUUUUCUCUUGUUUCUUCCCAGGUGACCGGGCAGAGACUCAAUACAUCAGCCCCUGUCCAGGUAAUGGUUUGUGACAGAGUGAAGAGAAGAUCCUUAAAUCAGCCACGGGUGGUAGAUAUCACUGCCAGGGACCCUUGCUUGGUCAUAGAUUAAGAAACUAACAGAUCAUGAAAGCAAUAGCAAGGCGACCUUGAGUAAAAAAAGUCAAAUUGCUGUUUGGGUUUGGUGGCAUUGAGGUAGGGGAAUGUACUGCAAGUUUGUCUCAUCUGUGUCUGUAUUAUUAACUAAGAGGGACCCUUAAUUUUAUGACUCCACCUAAAAAAUCAACCCUAACCUCUCAUAAAAGUAAGGGUUUGAACUGGACAUACUGUUAUCAGGUUCUCUUACCUGCUUCGUUAUACUCACUGAAGCCCAUGUGGACAUAUCACAACAUUUUUGAGACAAUUUCUUUAAUAAAAAAAGAAGAAGAAAAAAGACUAAGGACAAAAAAAAAGAAUAAACCCAGUCAUAAAGUGAUUCCCUUUUCAUUUUUCUCUUUACUUGCAGCCUGAACAUCAGUGUUGUCCUGAUCGUCCCAGGAGGAUUCAAAUAAAUCUCUCCACAAGUGAAUUGUGUUAUUUGUUUUUCAUGCAUAUUAGUUAUACCGUCAUAAGGUAUAACAUAUGCCCACCUGGAGGCUGCACAAAAGCUGUGGUGCCAAAAUAAAAACUCUGUAAAAUGAAUCAGUGGUAUCUGUGCAAAAAUUUGCUAAUAAAAUUCAACUGAGUAAUGUCAUUUAAAUAAA